AACGCACAUUGCGCCCUCUGGUAUUCCGGGGGGCAUGCUUGUUCGAGCGUCAUUACACCUCUCAGGCAUUCUUUUGCUUGGUAUUGGGUGCUGGGUCCCCUGAGGACUCACCUGAAAAGCAGCGGCGAUGCGGCCGGACUUUGAGCGUAUUAAUUUAUAACCCGCUACAAAAGUUUCCGGAACGUCUGUUUGCCGGACAACCCACCUAAAUUUUCUAUGGUUGACCUCGGAUCAAGUAGGAAUACCCGCUGAACUUAA
rnacentral:misc_RNA from 1 species